rnacentral:rRNA from 1 species
GACGAACGCUGGCGGCGUGCUUAACACAUGCAAGUGGAGCGACGAACCGGGGCUUGCCCCGGGGCAGAGCCGCGAACGGGUGAGUAACACGUGGGUAACCUGCCUCAAUGAUUGGGACAACCCGGGGAAACUCGGGCUAAUACCAAAUGUGUUCACUCCUUCUGAGGGGAGUGAGGAAAGGAAGCUUCGGCCUCCGCAUUGAGAUGGGCCCGCGGCCCAUUAGCUUGUUGGUGAGGUAACGGCUCACCAAGGCUUCGAUGGGUAGCUGGUCUGAGAGGACGAUCAGCCACACUGGGACUGAGACACGGCCCAGACUCCUACGGGAGGCAGCAGUGGGGAAUCUUGCACAAUGCGCGAAAGCGUGAUGCAGCAACGCCGCGUGGGGGAAGACGGCCUUCGGGUUGUAAACCCCGUUUCACGUUGGACGAAGCUCGUCGGUGAAUAGCCGUUGGAGUGACGGUACUUCAGAAGAAGCCCCGGCGUAACCUACGUA